UUCCGUAGGUGAACCUGCGGAAGGAUCAUUACCGAGUGAGGGCCCUCUGGGUCCAACCUCCCCACCCGUGUUUAUCGUACCUUGUUGCUUCGGCGGGCCCGCCUCACGGCCGCCGGGGGGCAUCUGCCCCCGGGCCCGCGCCCGCCGAAGACACCAUUGAACGCUGUCUGAAGAUUGCAGUCUGAGCAUCUUAGCUAAAUCAGUUAAAACUUUCAACAACGGAUCUCUUGGUUCCGGCAUCGAUGAAGAACGCAGCGAAAUGCGAUAAGCAAUGUGAAUUGCAGAAUUCAGUGAAUCAUCGAGUCUUUGAACGCACAUUGCGCCCUCUGGUAUUCCGGAGGGCAUGCCUGUCCGAGCGUCAUUGCUGCCCUCAAGCACGGCUUGUGUGUUGGGUCCCCGCCCCCUGCUUCCAGGGGGCGGACCCGAAAGGCAGCGGCGGCACCGCGUCCGGUCCUCGAGCGUAUGGGGCUUCGUCACCCGCUCUUGUAGGCCCGGCCGGCGCCCGCCGGCGACCCCCCAUCAAUCUUUUCAGGUUGACCUCGGAUCAGGUAGGGAUACCCGCUGAACUUAAGCAUAUCAAUAAGC
rnacentral:rRNA from 1 species